UGGGGAAUAUUGCACAAUGGGCGCAAGCCUGAUGCAGCCAUGCCGCGUGUGUGAAGAAGGCCUUAGGGUUGUAAAGCACUUUCAGCGAGGAGGAAGGCACCAUACUUAAUACGUGUGGUGAUUGACGUUACUCGCAGAAGAAGCACCGGCUAACUCCGUGCCAGCAGCCGCGGUAAUACGGAGGGUGCAAGCGUUAAUCGGAAUUACUGGGCGUAAAGCGCACGCAGGCGGUUUGUUAAGUCAGAUGUGAAAUCCCCGCGCUUAACGUGGGAACUGCAUUUGAAACUGGCAAGCUAGAGUCUUGUAGAGGGGGGUAGAAUUCCAGGUGUAGCGGUGAAAUGCGUAGAGAUCUGGAGGAAUACCGGUGGCGAAGGCGGCCCCCUGGACAAAGACUGACGCUCAGGUGCGAAAGCGUGGGGAGCAAACA
rnacentral:rRNA from 1 species